rnacentral:rRNA from 1 species
AUUGAACGCUGGCGGCAUGCCUAACACAUGCAAGUCGCACGAGUGGCGGACGGGUGAGUAAUUUAUGGUAACCUGCCCGAUAUACGUAUAUAACUACUGGAAACGGUGGCUAAUACCGCAUACUAUCGGUUGUGCCCCGAUGGGAUUAGCUAGUAGGUGGGGUAACGGCUCACCGAGGCGACGAUCCCUAGCUGGUCUGAGAGGAUGAUCAGCCACACUGGGACUGAGACACGGUCCAGACUCCUACGGGAGGCAGCAGUGGGGAAUAUUGCACAAUGGGCGAAAGCCUGAUGCAGCCAUGCCGCGUGUAUGAAGAAGGCGUUCGGGUUGUAAAGUACUGUCAGCGGGGAGGCGUUACCCGCAGAAGAAGCACCGGCUAACUCCGUGCCAGCAGCCGCGGUAAUUC